GACGAACGCUGGCGGCGUGCCUAAUACAUGCAAGUCGAACGAGAGCGACCGGUGCCUGCACUGGUCAAUCUAGUGGCGAACGGGUGAGUAACACGUGGGUAACCUGCCCAUCAGAGGGGGAUAACAUCCGGAAACGGAUGCUAAAACCGCAUAGGUCUUCGAACCGCAUGGUUUUAAGAGGAAAAGAGGCGCAAGCUUCUGCUGAUGGAUGGACCCGCGGUGCAUUAGCUAGUUGGUGAGGUAACGGCUCACCAAGGCCGUGAUGCAUAGCCGACCUGAGAGGGUGAUCGGCCACAUUGGGACUGAGACACGGCCCAAACUCCUACGGGAGGCAGCAGUAGGGAAUCUUCCGCAAUGGACGCAAGUCUGACGGAGCAACGCCGCGUGAGUGAAGAAGGUUUUCGGAUCGUAAAACUCUGUUGUUAGAGAAGAACAAGUGCUAGAGUAACUGUUAGCGCCUUGACGGUAUCUAACCAGAAAGCCACGGCUAACUACGUG
rnacentral:rRNA from 1 species